AGAUUGAACGCUGGCGGCAUGCCUUACACAUGCAAGUCGAACGGCAGCACGGGAGCAAUCCUGGUGGCGAGUGGCGAACGGGUGAGUAAUACAUCGGAACGUGCCCAGUUGUGGGGGAUAGCCCGGCGAAAGCCGGAUUAAUACCGCAUACGACCUACGGGUGAAAGCGGGGGAUCGCAAGACCUCGCGCUAUUGGAGCGGCCGAUGUCGGAUUAGCUUGUUGGUAGGGUAAAAGCCUACCAAGGCUACGAUCCGUAGCUGGUCUGAGAGGACGACCACGCCACACUGGGACUGAGACACGGCCCAGACCUCCUACGGGAGGACAGCAGCGGGGAAUUUGGACAAGUGGGCGAAAGCCUGAUCCGAGCCAUCGCCG
rnacentral:rRNA from 1 species